UAGCCGUAAACGAUACUCGCUGGGUGUCGGCCACGGUGCGACCGUUGUCGGUGCCGUAGGGAAGCCGUGAAGCGAGCCACCUGGGAAGUACGGCCGCAAGGCUGAAACUUAAAGGAAUUGGCGGGGGAGCACAACAACGGGUGGAGCUUGCGGUUUAAUUGGAUUCAACGCCGGAAAUCUUACCGGGACCGACAGCAACAUGAAGGCCAGGCUGAAGACUUUGCCGGAUUAGCUGAGAGGUGGUGCAUGGCGUAGUCGUGU
rnacentral:rRNA from 1 species